AUGUUGGUGACGCUGGGGAACAGUGGGUAGCACGUUCACCUCGCACCAAGAAGGUCGAUGGUUCGAGCCUUGGCUGGGUCAGUUGCCAUUUCUGUGUGGAGUUUGCACGUUCUCAUCGUGUUUGCGUGGGUUUCCUCCAGGUGUUCUGGUUUCCCCCAAAAUCCAAAGACAUGCGCUAAAGGUGAAUCGGAUAAAAGAAAACAAACCAGGUUUGGAACAAGUGGAGGAUGAGUAAAUGAUGACAGAUUUUUAUUUUUUUAUAUAUUUUAUUUUUUUGGGGUGAACUAUUCCAUUGUAUCUGCUCUUAUCAAGUGCAGUGAUGGUUGUGGCCUGAUUUAGUUCAAGACUCAAGUAGGUGAUUAUUAAAAUGAGUUCAUAACUGCUAAAAAUCGACAUAGUAUAACUGUGUGCAGUAGGUUAAGGGUGAAACUUAAACAUACAAAAUUCAUGUUAAUAUUUACUUGUUUUGUUGUAGGCAUCAUAUUUGUGGUUAAA
ensembl:processed_transcript